rnacentral:tRNA from 1 species
GCCCCCGUAGCUCAAUUGGAUAGAGCAGGGCACUUCUAAUGCCGAGGUUGUGAGUUCGAGUCUCGCCGGGGGCG